rnacentral:rRNA from 1 species
UACGUAGGGGGCGAGCGUUGUCCGGAUUUAUUGGGCGUAAAGAGCGUGUAGGCGGCCAGGUAGGUCUGCUGUGAAAACUCGAGGCUCAACCUCGAGACGUCGGCGGAAACCAUCUGGCUAGAGUCCGGAAGAGGAGAGUGGAAUUCCUGGUGUAGCGGUGAAAUGCGCAGAUAUCAGGAGGAACACCAAUGGCGAAGGCAGCACUCUGGGACGGUACUGACGCUGAGACGCGAAAGCGUGGGGAGCAAACAGG